rnacentral:rRNA from 1 species
CGUGUAGGCGGUUCGGUAAGUGAGAUGUGAAAGCCCCCGGCUCACCCGGGGAGGUGCAUUUCAUACUGCCGGACUUGAGUACGGAAGAGGAUGGGGGAAUUCCUGGUGUAGCGGUGAAAUGCGUAGAUAUCAGGAGGAACACCGGUGGCGAAGGCGCCCAUCUGGUCCCGUUACUGACGCUGAGGCGCGAAAGCUAGGGGAGCGAACG